rnacentral:rRNA from 1 species
UACGUAGGGUGCAAGCGUUGUCCGGAAUUAUUGGGCGUAAAGAGCUCGUAGGCGGUCUGUCGCGUCUGCUGUGAAAACUCAGGGCUUAACCCUGAGCUUGCAGUGGGUACGGGCAGACUAGAGUGCGGUAGGGGAGACUGGAAUUCCUGGUGUAGCGGUGAAAUGCGCAGAUAUCGGGAGGAACACCGGUGGCGAAGGCGGUUCUCUGGGCCUGACCUGACGCUGAGGAGCGAAAGCGUGGGGAGCGAACAGG